rnacentral:rRNA from 1 species
UACGUAGGGGGCUAGCGUUGUCCGGAUUUAUUGGGCGUAAAGAGCGUGUAGGCGGCCAGGUAGGUCUGCUGUGAAAACUCGAGGCUCAACCUCGAGACGUCGGCGGAAACCAUCUGGCUAGAGUCCGGAAGAGGAGAGUGGAAUUCCUGGUGUAGCGGUGAAAUGCGCAGAUAUCAGGAAGAACACCCGUGGCGAAGGCGGCUUCCUGGACCGAUACUGACGCUGAGGCGCGAAAGCUAGGGGAGCAAACGGG